rnacentral:lncRNA from 1 species
CAAAAAUUGAUUUCUUUCUUUCGACUUAGUUCUUAAGGUGGAGCGGAAUUCAUUUUAUUUGCAAAUGUGGAAGGCAUUAUAAAAACCGUGAAUGAUGCCCCCUCCCAUGAGGGAUACAGGGAGAGCCACGUGAAGAGGAUGUUGGGCUUCUUCAAGCUGGGAGGGCACUGAGCUGACUGUUCACCACACUCACCAGGGGCCUUUGUGCAUCCCGUGGGGCAGCUCUGGGAAAG